UAAGGUUAAUUUACUGAAGAAAGAAAAAAUUUUUAAAUAGAUUUAGAGUAGCAUGUUUAUGAAGUCUACAGUAGUUUACAGUAAUAUCCUAGGCCUUCACAUUAACUCACCACUCACCCACUGACUCACCCAGAGCAGCUUCUAAUCCUGCAAGUUCCAUUCGUGGUAAGUGCCCUAUACAGGUGUACUAUUUUUAUAACCUUUAUACCAUUUUUACUGAACCUUUUCUGUUUUUUAGAUACACAAAUACCAUUGUGUUACAGUUGCCUGUGAUAUUGAAUACAGUAACUUACUGUACAAGCUUGUAGCAUAGGAGCUGUAUCAUAUAGCCUGGGUAUGUAGGAACUAUACCAUCUAGGCUUGUGUAAGUAUAUUGUAUGAUACAGUGAUGAAAUCACUCAGAUGCAGUUUCUCUUAAGCAACACAUAACUGUAUAUAUAUAUAUAUAUAUAUAUAGGUGGCUUGAAUAAUAAAAUAAUGAAAUGUAUUUCUUUUUUUCUGUCAUUGACAAAACAAUUACCAGUCUUACUAAUUAGACCAACUACAAAACAAAAUCUCACUCAAAAAUAAAAAUAUAUGUCCCGUUCCUUGAUUACAAUUCAUUAGAACUGGACAUUUUUUAAAGUGUUUAAAUUUAUAUGGAAAUAUAAAAUCAUGUUUUAAAUAAUUUUUGAUUCAAUGAGGAAAUGUAAAUUUACAUUAGAAAUAAAGAUUAAUAGGUAGAGAUUUAUAAAGGCAAAAUGUUAAUGAAUUAGGAAACAGUAAACCAUUUGAACUAAUAAAUCUAAAUACUGAUUGCAUGAAAAUGCCAAUAAAAUCAAUACAUAUUUUUAAAAGCCAGUCAAGGAUAAAAGAAAAGAGGGAAACUAAAAAUGAGACAUUAAGUACGAGAAAGGAGAUAAAACUAAAGUAUGGAGGUGAUGUUAAAAUUAUAUUCGGGUCUGUGCUAAUCAUUUUGGAAAUUUCAAUGAGAAAUGGGCAAUUUUCAGUGAAUAUGUCAUUGUAAAUGCAUUGAGGGGAGAGACAAAAUCUGAAUAGACCCUGCAAUAAUGAAAAUGUCUAGGAGCCCUCAAGAAAUACCUGGUUUAAAUUGCAUUUCAGGUGGCUGAUUAUCAAACCUUGAAGUAUCAAGUAAUUAUGUUAUCUAAAUUGGACCAGGUGUUAGAAAGUAAGUAAGACUUCACAGGUGGUUGCUUAUGUAGCCCUUAUACCUUAAUCUGAUAAAGGUAGCAUAUAUUUAAAAAGAGAGAAAACCCGACGGUACAGUUUAGGGAAAAUUAAAUACUUCUCUUUGGCCAAAGUAAGAGUACAUUCAAGGGAAUUGUGAGAGGUAAGAGUGGAAAAAGAGGUUGGAGCUGUAUUUUUAUGCUGUGAUUGAAUUAUAGUGUGUGAUAAAUUGCUCUUACUUGGGUAGAAUACCAUGUAACAUUUUGAAUUAAUUGGUAAUUGGUUUAAUCUUAACUUUUAAAAAAUUAAUCUGAGAGUGGUAUAAAGGAUAGAUUACAGAAUGGAUAAAGGGUGAUAAAUCAGUUGGCUAUGGCAAAAUUGCAGGAAGAAACUGAAAUAGGCCACAGAAAACUGAAACUGACAUUUUGAGUAGUAUUUCGGAAUCAAGAUCUGGAUUUUGGCAACUGAAUAGAUGCGUAGGAAUCAAAGAUGAGUUUACUAAAUGAACUUAAUCUAUGAUUUGUCUCUCAUUUUAUUGUGUACCAUUAGUGUGUAUGCAUGUAUGUAUGUGCCAGGUAGUUAAUAUGCUGACUGUGUCUCUUAGCUCCACUCUGCUGCCUGGGCCUUUGCCAUAGUGCUGGAGUUCCCUCACUUCUCUUUUCUGUAACCCUAUUAUAUUACUGCUGCCUCUCAGCUGUGUUUCCUUCCUCAAGUAGAAAGAAGAUGGGAGGAUCAUAUAGUAGUUGACUAGAAGCUGUGGAGUUUCAGUGCUGGGAUUAUAUCUAGUUCCAUUACUUACGAAGAUUAUAUCUAGUUCCAUUACUUCACCUCAUCUAUAAAAUGGUUUACCAAUAGUAUCUACCUUACAUGGUUUUAUGAGUAUUAAAUUAUGUAUUUCUAAAGACAUUUAGAGCAAUACAAGGAAUAUAGUAUGGGCUCAAUAAGCGGUGGUGGUGUUAGUUAUUAGAAGGCCAUCAAGUGCUGGAGAAAAUAGUGAAUAUCAUUGAUGGAAAUAAAGGAGGUUUUCCACGUUAAAAAGCUUCAGUUUUUGGAAAUGUGUGUUUUAAGUAUUUCUGAGAUUACCAGGUAGAAAUUCCAGCCAGAUGUUGGAAUUCUGCACUGGCAGUUGGGAAUAAAGUCAUGUUGAAGGAGAUAAGUUUUGGAGUUACUGUGUAAAAUUGGUAAAGCACUGGAAUAGAUUGGAUUGACAGAGAGAGGGGAAACUCUUUUGAGGUAGUCCUAUAUUUAGGGACAAGAGAAGAGACAACCAAUAAGGGUUGAAAGAAACCUUAAGAGAGUAAGUCCUAUGACAGAAGCAGGGAAGUUUCAGAAUGAUUGCAGAAAGAUCAGCCAGGCUCUUCCUGUUCUCCAUCAUGGUGCAGGAUCAAGGUGAAAUGGAUUAACCCCAUGCAGGAACUUUGCAUCUGCAGGCUCUGCUUCAACAUCCAUUUAGGAGAAAGUGGAGACAGACUGACCUGAGUAACCAAGGUGUUGGAGCAGCUUACAGGUCAGAACCCGGUGUUUUCCAAAGCUAGAUAUACUGUUAGCCCCUUUGGCAACAGAAGAAAUGCAAAGACUGUUGUCUGCUGCACAGUUCGAGGGGCCAAGGCAGAUGAAAUCCUGGAGAAUGAUCUAAAGGUGCAGGAGUGUGAGUUAAGAAAAAAUAACUUCUCAGAUACUGGAAACUUUGGUUUUGGGACCCAGGAACACAUUGAUCUGGGUAUCAGAUAUGACCCAAGCAUUGAUGUCUACAGCCUGGACUUCUAUGUGGUGCUGGAAAAGCCAGGUUUCAUCAUUGCAGGUAAGAAGUGCAGGACAGGCUUCAUUGGUGCGAAAUAGAAUCAGCAAAUAGGAGACCAUGCGCUGGUUCCAGCAGAAGUAUGAUGGGAUCAUCCUUCCUGGCAAAUAAAUUCUCAUUUCUACCCAAAAGGCCAAUAAAAAGUUUUCAGUGAAAUGUUAGAAAAAAAAAAAGAUCAGCCAGCAGCCAGGAUGGGAUUGUGAAAACAGUAGAAAAUUAGUUGUUGAGAAAGCAUUAAUGACCAUUAAGAAAUCAGCCUCGGAUGGGCAUGAUGGCUCAUCCCUAUAAUCGUAACACU